GAUGAACGCUGGCGGCGUGCCUAAUACAUGCAAGUCGAGCGAACGGACGAGAAGCUUGCUUUUCUGAUGUUAGCGGCGGACGGGUGAGUAACACGUGGAUAACCUACCUAUAAGACUGGGAUAACUUCGGGAAACCGGAGCUAAUACCGGAUAAUAUUUUGAACCGCAUGGUUCAAAAGUGAAAGACGGUCUUGCUGUCACUUAUAGAUGGAUCCGCGCUGCAUUAGCUAGUUGGUAAGGUAACGGCUUACCAAGGCAACGAUGCAUAGCCGACGUGAGAGGCGGGUCGGCCACACUAGAACUGGGACAGGGACCAGACUCCUACGGGAGGCAGCAGUAGGGAAUCUUCCGCAAUGGGCGAAAGCCUGACGGAGCAACGCCGCGUGAGUGAUGAAGGUCUUCGGAUCGUAAAACUCUGUUAUUAGGGAAGAACAUAUGUGUAAGUAACUGUGGACAUCUUGACGGUAACUAAUCAGAAAGCCACGGCUAACUACGUG
rnacentral:rRNA from 1 species